rnacentral:tRNA from 1 species
GCAGCGACUAUGCAGGCAGCGUGCGCGAGGUUGUCGCGCGCAAGGCGAAGUCCGCGCCGGAUCUGUUCGACGCGGUGGCCGCUGCGC